AAACCUUCCCGGAUCACAAUUUUUUGUGCUCCGGGGUCCCUGACGAGGGGAGAAUCCCGCCGCGCCCUCCCGGGUGCGCCGCGGGCCUCCCCCGUUUAAACGCGGAGAAAGCUAGCGGGCCUCGGCCACGAUCGCAAAGACUGGUAAAUUUUAUUUUGUCGGAGCGCGUGAACGGAGCCCGCCUUCAACCCAAUUUCAUGA
rnacentral:misc_RNA from 1 species